rnacentral:misc_RNA from 1 species
CCCCGACCUGAACGGAGCUCUUUUUAUUUUUUAUGAAAAAUAAAAAAGCGGGAGUGGAGGGCGGAUAAGGUG